AGAGGCAAACAUAAAUUAUCUGAUUGUUUGGGCCUGCGUGACUCCCCUCAUGCCAAGUAGGAAGGUUGCCAACAUUCUUUGACACGCUUCUUAGAUGGCAUUCAGGGAGCCAGGCAGGAACAAUUUUCAGAUAAAAGGUAAAAUUUGGCAGAAACUAGCAAGUGAAGACUUACUGGUUGAAUAUAUAUCAGAUAUGAUAAGACACAAACUGAGGGAUUCCAGGUAUGGAGGAAUUGUGAAUUAUCUAGCUUUCUCUAUAUCCUUGGAAGGAAAGAACAAUAGGAUAUGGAUUUUAAAGAGUGGUUUAUAAAGAAAGAGAAAGAAAAAGAAGAGGAGACAAAGACAGAAGAAAGUCCAUGGAAGAGGAGAAAGACAGGUCAUGGAGAAGACGGCAGCGAAGAUGGCUUCUUUCCAACAAAAAGUUCCAUGGAUACAGCCAAAGUUGCCUGGGUUUUACAGGUAGCCUCCUUUGGAUUUUCUUGCCUUGGUAAAGGCGAUCCACCACACUAUUCCCUUUCUUUUCUUUUAUUCUCUCUUACUUUUCUUUUGUAAAGUAAUUAAGAAAUUUAAUUAGAAUUAAGACUAAUUAAUUAUCAUUCAAAUGAGGAUAUUGUUUUUAUUGGUGGAAUGGUUAACGGCUUUUGAUAGUUUCUAGACGAGCCCAAAACCAGGAAAUAAGACAAAGCCAGUGUUGCAGUGUGCCUUUGUUGAGAGUUUUGGGUCUUCGUUAGGGGAUUUUGCUUACACAAAGCCAUUCUUUCAUAGCAUUAAUCUGAUUCAUUUAUUUUUAUGAA